rfam:Coprinopsis cinerea okayama7#130 chromosome 10 cont3.10, whole genome shotgun sequence.
GCCUUCUUGGCUCAGUUGGCUAGAGCGCAGGUCUCAUAUUUCGGUAUGAGUGAGCAUUGGCUCAUAAAAUCCUGAGGUCGCAAGUUCGAGCCUUGCAGGGGGCA